UGCCACGAAAUGAUCGUGAAAGUUUUAUAUAUUUAUAAAAAUAUCAUUACAUUUUUCAACUAAGUAUACAUCUCAUUCAUCUUUUAUAUUGUGAUGGACAAAUGAGAUUUAUUCUCAUUUUUCCCUAGAAACACUGUACUAUUUUCACAAGAGAUUUACAAAUCUUAACCAUCUUUUUAGGCCGCGAAAAAGCUGAGCAAGCAACUUUAAUUUGACUCCACUUUUUCCUUCACUAGCAUUAUCAUCAUCUUGCACCUGUGUUAUACAGCAUAUAUAACAGCCAUUCCUUAUAUAAGCUACAGCCCUUUGCAACCUGGAAUGUCUAUCCACUGCAACUGGAGCUCCAGUUCGCCACACUCGACGUUUCGUAAUCUCAGAACCAUGUUCUGGACUACCUUGCCAUCUUCCCAGACGAUACUGCUUUCUUCGGCCAGGCAGUUCACCCGGCUCGGUUUGAUCUUGGUGAUGAUAGUUCCGCUAGGGAUGUUCUGGAAGUGCAUCUUUACGGCUUCUACGAAUGUCGUGAUGUCGAACUCUGCAUCGCCCAUUUUGUCAUCAAAACUGAAUCUAUCCUUGUCAUACACUUGCUGCAAUGACGACAUCAAAACAAAUUGCCCCAUAAGGAUCAUAAUAUAUACAUGUACUACACAUACUAAUGUUGUUCCAAUCCAGGACUUGUGACCAACAUUAGAUACAUGUAUUUGCAAAUGUAAACUGUUUUAAUCAUGUUCUGCUUUGACAGAUCAUUGACGACAGUCCAAUAAUCUAUUCAUGUACUACUCGAGAGGAA